ACAUUCGGGCCCGGGGUUUUUGGAGGUCGAACAGGGUCCUGGCCUCUCGCUACCUGUUGAAUGUUCCUGGGCCUAGGCGGGCCUGCGUUGCAUUGGAUCGGCGGUUGCAGCCAGUUGUCUCGACCUCGCGUCGAGGAGUGAGGACGGAUCGCCUCCCGGGUAAGUCCCUGUUUUUCCUUAUCUUUGGGUAGUUAGCUCCGGAGAGCCGAUGAGGCUUCCCCAGAAAACCAGCGUUGAAUGUAAUGAAACGCCAUUUUCUGGGUGAGUCCCGGAGGCUCCCCGAUUUCCCUCCCUCCCUCUGGUAAGCAGUGUUUUUCGCAUUUUUGAUACCCAGCCUAAGAACUGUGGGGUGGGUUGCUGGCGGUUAAGUCUGGGGCUGCCCCUUCCCCCUCCCGGGAAGCCGAGGGGGUUGCACAGACAGCGGCGCGGCAACGUGAUGACGUCAUGCUCGUUGCUAGUUUUCGUUUGGGGAGUUCCGUCCACUUGUUCGGUCUUCGGUCGCAAUUGUUUUACCAUUAUAGGGGUUUGCUUUGGAGCACCUACCUUUCUGGGUGUCUAUCCUGGUCGAUGGCAGACAUAGCAUGCUCCCAAUAAUAAAGGGGAGUCUCUAUAGGCCAUUGCUCCUCGUGCCUCUCUAGAGGGGGGCCAGGUUCUUGCUCUUGGUCCCCGGUAGGCAAGAACUCCAUGCAUUGACUGAUCCCAGAAAGUUAUACAUAUCCACUCCAGGGAGCCUUCGGGACUCGCCCAGAAAAUGGCGUUUCAUUACAUUCAACGCUGGGUUUUUUCCUCAUUUUUGGUGUUGGUUUCUGAUCCCUGAACUCUCCUUGCCUCAUGGAGAGUGCCAGAAUGUGGUUGUGGUGCAUCUCCCUUAACCAUCACUUAGCUUCGGAAGAUACUUGGUGCUUUAUCAGUAGUAAGUGUUACCAGUAGUAAGCUGUCUCGUGCGUUGUUUCACCUCCGGCCUGCUCAUGCGGCCGGAGGUGAAAUAUUCAAUGCUAUAUUUUUAUUCCCUUGAUAAUUUAAGUUCCGGUUGGAUAAUUAGGCUUGAAAAAUACCAUACGCAAUGUUAAGAACAAAGUGCCUGCUAUUAGAAAAUUAGACAGUGCAAACUGCCGUGUUAAAAAUUGCUAUAGUUUGUAUAUGGUUUGCACUCUGGUGAUGUCAUGCAGAGAACUUGAAGUAACCUAAUACAAAAUUUAAGAAAAAACUUCCAGCAUCCAUAGUUGACUCAAGACACUCAUUCACUUCAGGAACCUGGCAAAUGUUUGUUGCCAAAAUAAACCCCAAAUUAGCAAUUGCUGAUCAUGAAUUUAGUUUGUUGCUUCAUUUCAAUCCUUGCCUUUCACUAGCAAACUAAUAAAACUUAUACAGUAUAGUGGCAAAUAAUAUUUUUUAGAAGAUUAGCUUACAUUACUAUAGAUUCCCUUUUCAGAGAAAAAGAAAAAUUUUGUGGCUUUUCAGCAUAGAAAUAUCAGUCAAAAUUUAAAAUUUAACAAGGUGCUGUUAAAUGCCAUGGCUAUUUCAGCAUUAUAAUCUCAGUGUUUUGUUUACAAUACUUGAUACUAAUCCAGACCUAAUGUUGUUGUGUUGUGGGAGGUAAGCUCUCUCAGCUCAUGUCCUGAUGUAGUGUUGUGGGAGGUAAGCUCUCUCAGCUCAUGUCCUGAUGUAGUGUUGUGGGAGGUAAGCUCUCUCAGCUCAUGUCCUGAUGUAGUGUUGUGGGAGGUAAGCUCUCUCAGCUCAUGUCCUGAUGUAGUGUUGUGGGAGGUAAGCUCUCUCAGCUCAUGUCCUGAUGUAGUGUUGUGGGAGGUAAGCUCUCACAGCUGAUGUCCUGAAGGGGCAAUGCCAUUGUAGUCAUGUCUAUCUAUGAAAAGCUUUUUAUGUUAUACAAGGAAAAUAAUUAUUUUGUUAAUAAUUUGUUAAUUUGUUAGCUAUCUAUCUGCACUAAACAUUACUUUGUAACUUAGUUUCUUUAUAUCAUGUGUGUUUAACCCAACUGUUUGGCCAUGGAGCAAGUGCAUUCUGUGAGCUUCUAGGUGAGCUUUCAUGAGCUGUGAACUCUUUCUUUAUUAGUAUGCCACCACACUAAACAUACCACGAUGAGCAACAUGACAUGGUGGACGUUAUAUGUACAGCUUAAUGUAUCUGCAUUUCCUGUUGUUCUAGCAAUGUAACUUCAUGCUGACUUGUUAUUAUUAAGUUAAAGAUGCCUUGAAUACAGGCUAGACAUGAUAUUUAGAAUAUAAAUAAUUAAUACUUACUCCUCAACCUUAAUGCUUGUGUGUGUGUGUGUGUGUGUGUACUAAAGUCAUGAAAUAAUUCCUGUAUCAUAUAUCAAGUUCUAUAGCAAAUACUUAGCUGAGGUUUGUUUCCUGUUUUAUUAAUAAUAUUAAUUAUUAUUAUUAUCUUAAUAUUACAUAGCUAUAUAAUCACUAGUUUGAUGAAUUUGUAUUUAUAAAUAAAAGAUUCACAUACAGUA